AAACGGUUCGCAGGCCCGUCCCGCUCCACCUCUUCCUCGCGAGGGGCGGUGCUCCGCCGGCCGUUUCGGAAGUCGUGCGAGCCGCCCGGAUCUGGGGUGGGGCUUCGUCGGUCAGGAUCCAGCCCCAUUGAGUGAUGAAGAGGAGUCCCAAGGGUUAGCGGUGUAGCUGCCCAGCAUGGAGAUAAAAAUAGUGAUUCCAAUGUUAAUUUUAGACGUGAUGGCCAUGAAGUUAUGAUCUGGGCUCCCGCAGUUCUCCCCGGUGCAGCACCUGCAUUACAAAG